UGCGAAGGGUGCAAGCGUUACUCGGAAUUACUGGGCGUAAAGCGUGCGUAGGUGGUUCGUUAAGUCUGAUGUGAAAGCCCUGGGCUCAACCUGGGAAUGGCAUUGGAUACUGGCGACCUAGAGUGCGGUAGAGGGGUGUGGAAUUCCCGGUGUAGCAGUGAAAUGCGUAGAUAUCGGGAGGAACAUCUGUGGCGAAGGCGACACCCUGGACCAGCACUGACACUGAGGCACGAAAGCGUGGGGAGCAAACAGG
rnacentral:rRNA from 1 species